rnacentral:rRNA from 1 species
UGGGGAAUUUUGCGCAAUGGGGGAAACCCUGACGCAGCAACGCCGCGUGGAUGACGAAGGCCUUCGGGUCGUAAAGUCCUGUUCUGGGGGAAGAAAAGCAGAGGACCAAUACCCCUCUGCCCUGACGGUACCCCAGCAGAAAGCUCCGGCCAAUUAUGUGCCAGCAGCCGCGGUAAUACAUAAGGAGCAAGCGUUGUCCGGAAUCAUUGGGCGUAAAGAGCUCGUAGGCGGUCCUGAAAGUCAACUGUGAAAUCACCAGGCUCAACCUGGUGCGGUCAGCUGAAACUUCAGGACUUGAGGGUAGAAGAGGAAAGCGGAAUUCCCGGUGUAGCGGUGAAAUGCGUAGAUAUCAGGAGGAACACCGGUGGCGAAGGCGGCCACCUGGACAGGCAUUGACGCUGAGGUGCGAAAGUGUGGGGAGCAAACAG